rnacentral:rRNA from 1 species
UACGAAGGGGGCUAGCGUUGUUCGGAAUUACUGGGCGUAAAGCGUGCGCAGGCGGUUUUGUAAGCCGGAUGUGAAAUCCCCGGGCUCAACCUGGGAACUGCAUUUGUGACUGUAGAGCUGGAGUGCGGCAGAGGGGGAUGGAAUUCCGGCGUGUAGCAGUGAAAUGCGUAGAUAUGCGGAGGAACACCGAUGGCGAAGGCAAUCCCCUGGGCCUGCACAUGGACGCUCCAUGCACGAAAGCGUGGGGAG